rnacentral:sRNA from 1 species
GAAGGUGAUGGUUUCUUGAUUUAUUAACAAAUAAUUUUAUAUGUUUUUAUAAUUUAUUAUAAAAUUUAUUUUAUGACUAAUCUAUAGAUGUUUAUAGUAUUAAUACUAGGGAUUUUUUUCUACAUUAAGAAAAGAAAUAACCAAUUAUUCAAUUAUUUCCAGUGGUCUUUUUGUGUUCUGUGUUUCCAGGCGGGCACAUGAACGCCCCCCACCCCAUCCACAUAGGAUGCACCCAAACUAUGGUCAUGGGCAUCAUAUUCAUGUGCCUCAGACUAUGUCCUCACAUCCUCGACAGGCUCCAGAGAGGUCUGCCUGGGAACUGGGAAUUGAAGCUGGAGUGACUGCAGCUACUUAUACACCUGGUGCAUUGCAUCCUCACUUGGCCCAUUAUCACGCACCUCCUCGACUUCAUCACUUACAAUUAGGAGCUCUUCCUUUAAUGGUUCCUGAUAUGGCAGGCUAUCCUCACAUC